AGAGUUUGAUCCUGGCUCAGGAUGAACGCUGACAGAAUGCUUAACACAUGCAAGUCUACUUGAAUUUGGGUUUUUAACUUAGGUUUGGGUGGCGGACGGGUGAGUAACGCGUAAAGAACUUGCCUCACAGCUAGGGACAACAUUUAGAAAUGAAUGCUAAUACCUAAUAUUAUGAUAAUAGGGCAUCCUAUAAUUAUGAAAGCUAUAUGCGCUGUGAGAGAGCUUUGCGUCCCAUUAGCUAGUUGGAGAGGUAACGGCUCACCAAGGCGAUGAUGGGUAGCCGGCCUGAGAGGGUGAACGGCCACAAGGGGACUGAGACACGGCCCUUACUCCUACGGGAGGCAGCAGUGGGGAAUAUUGGACAAUGGACCAAAAGUCUGAUCCAGCAAUUCUGUGUGCACGAUGACGUUUUUCGGAAUGUAAAGUGCUUUCAGUUGGGAAGAAAAAAAUGACGGUACCAACAGAAGAAGUGACGGCUAAAUACGUGCCAGCAGCCGCGGUAAUACGUAUGUCACGAGCGUUAUCCGGAUUUAUUGGGCGUAAAGCGCGUCUAGGUGGUUAUGUAAGUCUGAUGUGAAAAUGCAGGGCUCAACUCUGUAUUGCGUUGGAAACUGCAUGACUAGAGUACUGGAGAGGUAAGCGGAACUACAAGUGUAGAGGUGAAAUUCGUAGAUAUUUGUAGGAAUGCCGAUGGGGAAGCCAGCUUACUGGACAGAUACUGACGCUAAAGCGCGAAAGCGUGGGUAGCAAACAGGAUUAGAUACCCUGGUAGUCCACGCCGUAAACGAUGAGUGCUAAGUGUUGGUCUCAUAAGAGAUCAGUGCUGCAGCUAACGCAUUAAGCACUCCGCCUGGGGAGUACGACCGCAAGGUUGAAACUCAAAGGAAUUGACGGGGGCCCGCACAAGCGGUGGAGCAUGUGGUUUAAUUCGAAGCAACGCGAAGAACCUUA
rnacentral:rRNA from 1 species